GUUACAGUGGCCGAGUGGUUAAGGCGACGCCCUGCUAAUAGGCGUUGGGUUCUGCCUGCGCAGGUUCGAAUCCUGUCUGUGACG